GUGAAAGUAGCUGCACUGGGAAGGUCUGGGUUAAGUGUUAUGGUCUGCCAAGCAGUCUGACUUCCUUUGGCUUUGCAAGCAGCAAUGAUUUAUUUUGUCUGAGAUUUGCUUAUUCUUCAGGUUCCAUGGGAUGGGAUGAGAGCAGGGCCAUGCCUGGAGCUGGCUGAGUCGUGCUGGCACUGAGCUGGGUGGAGGGGAGAUUGGUGAUCUGUGCAGGCUGGGAGAGAAGGACUGAUUAAGAUCAGACCAGUGGGUGACUAAUGGAGAUUUUUACUGUCAGAUUUCUGUGGCUUUCUUCGUGGAAGACAACAUAUCCAUCAACUGAAACUGAAAUCCAAGCAUUUUCUGCAGCAACACUUUAUGAAUUCAUUGUAUGCAUCUUGUUUUGCCUAAAAGGCCGAUUUACUUGCAGAACAAGAUCAAACUGAGAGAUUUAAUUUUUUUGUUAUUUUUGUUUAGCUCACUUUUACUUUCAUAACUAUUAGGACAAAACUGAAUGUUAGAUUGGUUCACAGACAUUCCCUUAUAAACUGAACAAACCCACUCAAAGUCUUCCAAAGUAGUUGAAAGAAUAAACAAUUCAACAAACUACGUUCUUAAAACCGUUGUUCAUAGCAGCUCUUGUCAUGAAGGUUAGGAAAUACCUGAGACCUGAGAGAAGAACAGAUUAAACUUUCAGCCCCUACCUUCUUUAGGAGGUGAUGGAUUUGAAAUCUGAGCAGGAGAAGGACUGGCAGCUUGUGUGGGAUAUACAGAAAGGGUUCUUUGUUUUCCACUAGUGGCUCUCCUGUUGUUUUGAGAUACUACAAUCAUACUACAGAAAGCUUACUAAACAGAGUUUGUGAUCAAAACAAAUAGAUUGGGAAUCUGAAGACAGAAGUCUCUGC